AUUGAAAGUCUUAGCGAAAGUGAAAACGUCUAUAGAUGCUGAUCAACAUUUCGACGCAAUAACUUGACAGGUUGGUAUGCUACGCGGUACGAUUUCAGUCUUCGGAUAAGCAUCGAUAGUCUCAUCGAAAGCAUAACCGGUAUACAUUUGUCGCUAGGAUAGGUUGUGUUUGUUAGGCUAGCGGGUUUCUCAUUUCCUAGAUUAUAAGACAACAACGUGCGCAACUGAAAAUCCUUCAACUUGAGAAAAUUUAUCAAAUAAGGGUAAACUUUCUGACGAUAUAGAAGGAAUCAAGUUUAACAGCGAAAGCCAUCCGACGACUGAAAGUCUUCGCAAAAGUAAAUUUUUCCUGUUGACAAACUUAUAUAAUUAUCUUGAUUUCCGGCGAAAAGUCGAAAUCGAAAGUUUAAAAAACAUUCUACGAGCUCGCCAUUAUUACCAACGUACCAGGUUCGGUGGAAUCUUUUGUGCCACUAAACCCGUAUGUAGAUAUAACAAUCCGUAUGUAUAACAAUCUAUCCAAACAAGAAACUUGAUUUAGUUUUCGACUUGCCAGCCUGCGAGGUUAAUCACGACGAGGAUGAGUAUUACAAAUGAUGCUAGAGGAAAUGAAAAUUUGUAUUACGUUAAUCUCUAGCAUGCGUGGGAGAGUGUUAAAAAGGAGGAUAUUCAUCAACGAUAUAAAACUAUCACAAUUCCUUAUUAUUUUUUUUCUACAUUAAUUUGCGUCAAAAUCUAAUUAUCCGUGAAAGCGACUCUCUGAAUGGCUCUUACGUUUUCUAUUUUCAAGUACAUCAUACGAAUAAGUAAUACAUCUCAGAUAAUUAAAACAACUUUCACUUUUACCAUGACCGACCGGAUCCUGAUUGACCUAGUUGUUUUGCUUGCCUGAAUGUAUAUAGUCAUCUUAUGCCAAAAAAACACAUUCCUAAAUGCGGAGAGAUUUAAAUUGGCACACAGCUGAAUGAGGUUCAUACAGGUUCGUUAGUUUGGUCGAUAAACCAGUUCCAAAGCGAAUGUACAGAAUGGAUGAAUACAUGCAUAUCUCAACGACGCCUAAGAGGUUAUCCAUCUUCUCCAAUUUUCCGAGGACUAAGAAACAAAUUACUUAGGCUCACCUUCAUAAAACAAAGAUUGUCAACCAAUAGGUAACUAGAUCAGCUGAAAAACAACCUUGUGGGAGGCGCCUUACUUGACUUGGCAGCAAUCAGCAUGACAUAGUUUUAAAUGCAAUUUUUUAUGUGAGAUAAAAAAAAAAUCUAUAUCCCGAUAGGGCUUCAAUCAAACCUCUGGGGUACCCAGUGAUACACUCGGUUUUCAACCACCUUUUUUCCGAGACUUUACUUCAUAGAUGGAUAAAUAUUAAUACCAUUACAUGAAUAAGUGGAGGGUUAUAAAAAUAUAAAACUGUAAUUCCUCAAGGCAUUUUCAUUCACGCAUGCGCAGCAGUUGGUGAGCAGACGAAUCAUUGAAAGAGCCUUGCGCAGUUUAGCUGCAUCCAGCGAGAUACUAGUAGAACCCGAAACAUUGUUUUGACAAGUACUGUCACAUUUCGGUUGCAGGUUUUCACUAAAUACCAAGAAAGUCACGGGUUUAAUCGUGUUAUAUUACAGGCUGAGCAACGACAGUUUUAACUACAAAUAUUUUAGCGCCUCGUCUUGCAACUAGUAGUUGAUAUUCUAGGUUUUUAUAUUUAAAAUUGGAAUCAACUGUCUGAGGACGAAAAACUAGAUGGCGUUGACGUGCAUUUUGAUAAAGAUCGUGAAUGACAAGUAAAAUGCGUGUUAGAAUCGUCAUGGUAUAAUAACUUUUAUACCAUGGUAUCGUAAUAUAAAAGUAAUCAAUGCUGGCUGUUCUACACUUGGUGAAUAAUGGUCAGUUGAAUAACAUUUCUAGACUUGGGGCCCUCACUCCGUUCAGGAAGUUCCCGAUAGGGUACGGCCUGGUCGCCAAUUCGCCAUAAUAUCUCGGAAACCGUUUGUUCUUCCGGCAAAACAGACUCCGUAUACAUGUCCUAUGAGGCGUG